AGUUUGAUCCUGGCUCAGGAUGAACGCUGGCGGCGUGCUUAACACAUGCAAGUCGAACGGGAAACCUUUUAUUGAAGCUUCGGCAGAUUUAGAUUGUUUCUAGUGGCGGACGGGUGAGUAACGCGUGGGUAACCUGUCUUGUACAGGGGGAUAACAGUUGGAAACGGCUGCUAAUACCGCAUAAGCGCACGGCAUCGCAUGAUGCAGUGUGAAAAACUCCGGUGGUAUAAGAUGGACCCGCGUUGGAUUAGCUAGUUGGUGAGGUAACGGCCCACCAAGGCGACGAUCCAUAGCCGACCUGAGAGGGUGACCGGCCACAUUGGGACUGAGACACGGUCCAAACUCCUACGGGAGGCAGCAGUGGGGAAUAUUGCACAAUGGGGGAAACCCUGAUGCAGCAACGCCGCGUGAGUGAAGAAGUAUUUCGGUAUGUAAAGCUCUAUCAGCAGGGAAGAUAAUGACGGUACCUGACUAAGAAGCUCCGGCUAAAUACGUGCCAGCAGCCGCGGUAAUACGUAUGGAGCAAGCGUUAUCCGGAUUUACUGGGUGUAAAGGGUGCGUAGGUGGCAGUGCAAGUCAGAUGUGAAAGGCCGGGGCUCAACCCCGGAGCUGCAUUUGAAACUGCUCGGCUAGAGUACAGGAGAGGCAGGCGGAAUUCCUAGUGUAGCGGUGAAAUGCGUAGAUAUUAGGAGGAACACCAGUGGCGAAGGCGGCCUGCUGGACUGUUACUGACACUGAGGCACGAAAGCGUGGGGAGCAAACAGGAUUAGAUACCCUGGUAGUCCACGCCGUAAACGAU
rnacentral:rRNA from 1 species